GAUGAACGCUGGCGGCGUGCCUAAUACAUGCAAGUCGAGCGAACAGACGAGGAGCUUGCUCCUCUGACGUUAGCGGCGGACGGGUGAGUAACACGUGGAUAACCUACCUAUAAGACUGGGAUAACUUCGGGAAACCGGAGCUAAUACCGGAUAAUAUAUUGAACCGCAUGGUUCAAUAGUGAAAGACGGUUUUGCUGUCACUUAUAGAUGGAUCCGCGCCGCAUUAGCUAGUUGGUAAGGUAACGGCUUACCAAGGCAACGAUGCGUAGCCGACCUGGGAGGGUGGUCGGCCACACUGGAACUGAGACACGGUCCGGGCUCCUACGGGAGGCAGCAGUAUGGAAUCUUCCGCAAUGGGCGAGAGCCUGACGGAGCAGCGCCGCGUGAGUGAUGAAGGUCUUCGGAUCGUAAAGCUCUGUUAUUAGGGGAGAACAAAUGUGUAAGUAACUAUGCACGUCUUGACGGUACCUAAUCAGAAAGCCACGGCUAACUACGUG
rnacentral:rRNA from 1 species